ACUCACGGCUGCUUUUUCUUGGAGUAUUGGGCGUACGUUUUGUUGCUUAUCAGUGUCUACAGAAAAAGUGGCACCAUGUAAAAUCAUUGCGGACGUACUAUUUGUCGCUACCACCGCAUCGAAUUAUUGCUUGCAUGGGCCUUGGGCCCAGGGCACAAGCAUCUGUCGGCCCAAUUGGGCCAUAAACAUGCCCUUUUAACAUAAAAAGUUUCCACGGCGAUCCAUCCACAGCCACAAGCAAGGAAUAUUUUGCCUUUUGCAGAUGCCAAGUAAUCUUGGCAUGUUGGGGGGAUGCAAAAAUUCCUUGAUUUAUUUUUAAUUAUUUACAAUUUUUUUACUUUUUGGGUUUGGAGAAGCUACUAAACACUACGUAAAGACAGUAAAGAGUCAAAACAAAUUCUUAUAUUUUAGAUUUUAAACUAGUCUUUACUUGUAUAUUUGAAAACAAAACAAGAUUUUCAAAAAAAAUUUCCCUCUUUUGUCCGAAGCUGCUGUACGGCCAAGGCGGAUGUACGGUACAGCAGUAACAAAUGUUGCUGUUCUUGAUGUUAAAUUGGCAGAGUUUAUGAGCAAAAUUAGUAGUAUUUACAUCGAUGUUAGCUAAGUUUUGCUUAUGCCAUUAAUCUCAAUUGAGUCUUUGCUAGCACUGUGGACUCAAGAACUUGAUCCGGAAAGAAAGGAGGAUCAACCUGUCAAGAAGAGGAAGAUUCACGAAAAGAGUGAGAGUCUUGGUGUUGCUAUAGAUGAUGAAAGUUCGAAAAUGGAUCAAUCUUGAUGGCCAAUAAUUAAUUGUUGAUUAAUAAUCUCUUGCGUAUCCUUCAUUUUUAAAGAGGUGAAAAUUGAUUUGAUUUUGUUGCUUGUUCUGUUUUUACCGUUGAUUUUCUUUUAUGGGUUCAUUGCUAAAAUCAAGUUGCAAGAUCUUGUGAUCCAUUUUUCUUUCCUUUGUGUAAUAAGGAGAUGUGCAAAAGAAAAUAUGUGGAAUAAAUGUAUCAUUCAAAGAUGAGCCAUGAUUAAUGUCAAAAAAAAAAAAAGAUAAUCCAUGAUUGCUUCACUAAUUUUGUGCCUUCGUUUAUGAGUGAGUCGAGAGAGUUGGAAGCUGUUCUUGUCUCAAUAUCUCAAUGUAAUAAUUCCCUCUGGUAUUGUAACAAAAAAAUACCUUAUUAAAAAGCAAUCAUAUUAAGAAAUAUUACCAUAUUAAAUAAAAGAAAAAAACUGAAAUUUUCAAUCUUGAAUUCAUUCUUCGUUAAUAAGGGCUCUAUUUUCUAAUACAACCAUUGAUUAAUUCAAACCAAUAGAACUAAUUCAAACCAUUGAUUCUUUUUCACUUCCCCUAGCUUUCUCAGCUGCCAGACAAAAGGUAGACCUUCCAAACUCCAAUGAAUCACUUCAAAGAAAUCAAUAAAUUAAUCAAAAGUCUACGAACAGCUAAAGGGCUAAAAAUUAAAAUUACCUUUAGGCUACGGUUAAAUCUUCUUUGAAGCGGGUCUGAAUCCUACUUUGGGCUGUAGUCGGGCCUCGACCUCAUUGGAAGAUUAGGCCUUUUGACAUCCCCACAAAAUUCCUUUUAAAACGCUUUUUUUGUUCAAAAAAACCUGAAUUCACCUCAUUAAACUAAUACAAAUUUAUUUAUUUAUUUUUUGUUUUGAACGGAAAUAAAAUUAAAUGCUUAAUUUUUAUUUUAACAAACUUUUUACAUCAAUCCAUUUCAUAAUCUAUAUUUACAUUUUAAUUGAAAAAUAAAAAUUAUAAAAAUUAAAUAAUAAAAUGGAAAAUUUUUAAAUAAAUAUUUUAUGCAAUUUAAAAAGAAAAUCUUGGGUACAAUUUUGUGGAAGAUGGUUAAUUUUAAUCUAUAGAGUUGUCAUAUUAUCAAUUAAAUUGAGGGUAUUUUAGGUUUAAAAGGGGCUGUUAUAAGAAUUUUAGAAGGGUGUUAAAAGCUCCACACAUUUUUCAAUGACCUUCGCUCUGCCAUGACAAUAAAACUGAAAACGACGCCGUCUGUAUAAUUCUGUGAACGCCAUUUGAACAAAAUCUUUCUUUAAUCAUUCUUCGUAGCUACUAAUUCAAACAACACCCGCUUAGGCCCCGUUGGAGCUUUUCAAUGACCUUUAAUUCUGCCAUAACAAUAAACUGAAAACGACACCGUCCGUAUAAGUUUUCGCGCAUCAUUUUAGCAAAUUGUUUUUUAAAUCGCUCGCAGCUACUAAUUUCACACAAUGCACCUUCAUUGGGCCUGGCCCUCGAUAUAUUUUUUCAAUGAUCUUUCGAUUCAACUAUCAUAAUGAGCUGAAAAACGACACCGUCUGUGUUAUUUUGUGCGCGCCAUUUGAGCAAAUUGUUUCUUAUAUCGUUGACAGCCACUACUACUAAUAAAUCACACACAAUACGCCUUCAUUGAUUGUCUUUUCAUCAAGCAGCUGAUAAGUGCUAUGGAUGAGUUGAGAUCCAGCAGUGGCAGCAAUUCCUUGAACUCAUCAGCAUCAAGCUUCUCUGUGGCUUCAAGCAUUUCAACCAACUCAUCCACAAAAUUGAGUUGUUCAGGUACCUUAACUUUUACUCCAACUAAAUUGUUUGCUGAUUCUGAAGAGAAAGUGUUGCCUAAUGAUUCAAUUAAGUUAGAUGAUUCAUCUGGUUCUGAAGUUAAUCAACCAAUAGUAUAUAGUAUGAAUCACGUGGAUGACUUAAUUGAUUGUGAUAUUAAGGAUGAUGUAGUAAAAUCAGAUAAUGUGAACAAUGAUAAAGAUAAUUCGAGUGAUUCUGAUGACGUGGACAAUGAGCAAAAUUCAGAUGAUUCUGAUAAUUUUAACAAAGUGGACAAUGGGAAAAAUUCAUAUGAUUAUGUUGAUGUUAACAAUGAUGAAGAUAAUUCGAGUGAUUCAAAUUUAGAUGAUUCUGUUGAUGUUAACAAUGAUGAAGAUAAUUCGAAUGAUUCUGAUCAUGUGGACAAUGAGCAAAAUUUGGAUGAUUCUGGUAAUGUUAACAAUUUGGAUAAUGGGGAAAAUUUAGAUGAUUCUGUUGAUGUUAACAAUGAUGAAGAUAUGGCUAUUUCUGAUGUAACUUGGCAACACGAUGGCGAGGACUUACAUUGUCAAUUUAUCUGUGCUUUGAUGAAGAAGGUGCCCCCAAAGAAAUUUAAGAUUCCUUUUAGACAAAAUAAGGAAUAUGAUAAUAGAUUGGGGAAAGUUGCAGAGAUUUUGAAAGAAGUUAAGCGAGAGCUAAGACAACAUGCAAAAUCUAAGGGAAGUAGAUUUUUGAAUGAAGAUGAUGUGGAUGCAACUUGUGCUUUUAAUGACAAUGACUUUAGUCUCUAUCAUUUGAUGAGGGAGGAAGGCAUGGCUAUAAAUGAUGUUCAUAUUGAUAAAUUGAUAGACAUUGAGAAUCAAUUAAAAGAAUCAAAGAAUAUUGUUAGGGAAAUAGUGGAGGAGAUUCGAGAGCUAUACUAUGUGGGUGGGGAUUCUGCCCAGGGAAUGGAAAAUGGAUGAAAAUGAAGAUUCUAAAGAGGGGACUGAAAACUCUGAGGAUGAAUCUGAAGAAGAGUUGAACAGCAAGACAUUGAACAAGGAGGACAGUGAAGACAGUAAGGAUGAAUCCGAAGACUCUGAGGAUGAAUCUGCACAAGAGUUGAACAGCAAGACAUCAAACAAGGAGGACAAUAAAGAUACUGAGAAGGAUGAGUCUGAAGACUGAAAAUGAAUCAGACUGAAGAUUCUGACUCAAAGAGGUUUUGAUCAAAUUCCGAACUCAAUGAUUAGGAAGUCAUUUAAAUGAAUAUUCAAAUUCAGCAGUCAAUUGUGAAAAUGCAGUUUCUCCUCUCUUUCUCCCUCUGCAUAAUGCUUUCUAUAUUCUUAGCAAGGAUCAUUUUGUUGACCGAUGGAAAAAAAUUGUAAAGCAUGUUAUCAUUGUUUGUCUAUCAGCAUGUAUGGAAUUCUCAAAAGUGAUAAAAUUUGUUUAGUGCAAAUGUCCUUUCAAAUUAUGUUUGAAAUAUAUCCUUUGAUGAUAUUUGAACUAUAUAUGCUUGAGGUCACCAGACCAACUCCAGUAAGACACCUGAACCUAUUGUCUCUCCUGAAGGGCUUGUUCUACUUGUAGAUGAUCAUGACCCUAUAGAAUAAUCUUGUUGCGGAUAUACUUGACAAAGUAAGUGCUAUUGCCAAUGUAUUCCAGAUUUAAUGGUUUAAAUGCAUACUGCCUAUUUAUUGAACACUAAGUUACCUUUGUCACUUUCAAUUAGUAAGUUCUUUAACAUUUUUGGAUGAUUUAUGAGGCUUUUGGAUGUUGUUAGACCUAUACACGAUAGUCAAUACCAAGAAUUUUACUUCCAAUUAGCAUGAUAUCUUGAGAUAUGUUCUGUAUGCUCAUUCAUGGUUUACUUUUGUUUUUGGUAUGUUAUCAGCAUCAGAGGAAGUCAGAGCUCAAAACUUUCCAGUUAUGUUACGCACCUAUCUAUCUUUUAUGGUCACAAAGAAACCACCUAGGUUGCAGAUAGAUGUAUGAGGGUUGAGCUGGUUAUGCUUAAAAUAAGAAGAUGCUUCUUAUCUGGCCUACUUACCUUGUUGCAGGUCAGGCAUUUGGGGUGAUUCCGGUGACAGUUCUGGAUUCUAGCAGCUCAGAAAAUUAUAAGUGCAUCCGUGCAUUUUUAUAGUUACUUCACCUUGAAGUUUAAAGUUUCAUAAACAACUGCUUAGUUUUGCAGAUAUUUGCCACCUAUUGGCUUUAAUAUAGUUAAUUUGUUAGUGCUAGCAUGUACUAAUUGGAUCAACUUCUUACAGUGCUAGCAUGAGACUCUCUCUCUUUUCCUGAAUCUUCCUCUUCUUGACAGGUGGAUCCUCCUUUCUUAUUGGAUCAAUUUCUUACAGUGCUAGCAUGUACUCAAUUGAGAUUAAUGGUACAAGCAAAACUUAGCUAACAUCCAUGUAAAUACUACUAAUUUUGCUCAUAAACUCUGCCAAUUUAACAUCAAGAACAGCAGCAUUUGUUAAUCAUAAGCGAGAAUUAAAUUAAAUAUUAUAUAAACUCUUGUCCGGGUAUUUUAUUAUGUGUGAUGAUCUCAUCCAAAGUUUAGGAGACCAUUGCUGAAAGCAUUCAAUGAAAAUAUUUUAGAAGGAGAUGUGAAUGUGAUCAAUAUAAAAAAAAGGUAUAAAAUUUAAAUAAUUACUAAAAUCUCUUCAUGAAAAUUGCCUUUCAAAGUGUUACCUCCAAGCAUCAAGCAUCAACCAUCAAGUGGAUACAUGUAUCCACCAUAAAAAUUUCUUUGAUGAAGUGUUUCAUAUCCCAAGAAUAAAUGUUUUUAUUACAAAAAGAAAGAUACAUCUAAAAACUGCAAAAUGUGAGUGGGAUAUUAAUAUCCCAACUCAAGCGAAUUGAUCAAGAGUGUUAUAUCUAUUUUCCUUAGCUUCUUCUUCCGAGGAUCAUCACCAUCAAUCUGCGUAUAGUCUUCUACGACCCACUUUAUAAUUUUCUUUCUGUCAUAAUACUUUUCAAGCUCUGUCUCUAAUCUUGCUGCUUUUCCGAAUACCCGCUGCAAUUUCUUUUCAUUUUUCCUAUACGCAGAUUUCUCUUUUAUUUUUUUUGAUCGAGAGUUAUAUAUAAUUGUCCUUCUUAGGGCUAUCUUCAGCAAAUUCAAGAGGUGGUUUGGGUAGGGGGUACCCGUAGCAAAUCGGCUGUUCACUGACGAACUGUCGGACUGUUGAGAUUGAGCAGCUGCUGCCAUUGUUUCAAUUUGACGAACAAGAACCAGCCUUGAUGUUGCAGUCUCGGAGAGUCUUGGAGAAAAAUAAGCAAGAAGGUUAUCGGGUUCUUGAAAAAUAAGGAAAUUGUUAACCUUUAAAUCUAGCCCUUAUUUAUAGACUCAUUAUGUGACUCCUUAUUCCUUUAGGAAUCCUUGUUCCCUUAGGAAUCCAUGUUACUUUAGGAAACUCUCAACUUUUAAGUAAUUAAAAAUAAUUAAUUAUUUAAAAUUAAAAGAUAUCCUAAAUUAAGAAGGAAUCCUUGAGUGGCCAAGGAUCCUAACUUCUAACGCCUUCUUAGGAACUUGAUUCUACUUUUAAAUGUCUAACGGUAAUAAUAUGAAGGGUAAUUUUGGUGUAGAGAUCUUAAUUGGUAAUUAUUUAAAUUUAACAAAUGUUAAUAUGCUCUCAUGAGUUAUUGAUUACUAAGUUAUCAUUUAUGUGAGUUAGAACUUUUAUGAUUACUAAGUUAUCAUUUUAACAAAAAUGAUCAGUGUCCAAAAUAACUUAGUGAAAUGUUUGGUAAAUUUAGAUCAUAAUUAGAGACAAUCACUUAUGAAAUAAUUUAUUGUUAAAUAGCAAAACCGUGGAAGUACAUAUAAUGUAUAUGUGAAAUGGCCAAAAUGAACAUGUUAUACUAANNNNNNNNNNNNNNNNNNNNNNNNNNNNNNNNNNNNNNNNNNNNNNNNNNNNNNNNNNNNNNNNNNNNNNNNNNNNNNNNNNNNNNNNNNNNNNNNNNNNNNNNNNNNNNNNNNNNNNNNNNNNNNNNNNNNNNNNNNNNNNNNNNNNNNNNNNNNNNNNNNNNNNNNNNNNNNNNNNNNNNNNNNNNNNNNNNNNNNNNNNNNNNNNNNNNNNNNNNNNNNNNNNNNNNNNNNNNNNNNNNNNNNNNNNNNNNNNNNNNNNNNNNNNNNUAAAUUAAAAUGAUUAAUUUUUAUUUUUACAUUAUUUCAUGGAUUAAUAUUUAAAUUUAUUUAUUUUGAAUAAAUAAAAAUAGGAAAUUCAACAACCUAAUCUUAUAGUGGCCAAUUGCAUAGGUGCCCUCAACAUUGUUAAAAGUAUCCACCCCACCAUUAGACUACGAUCCCGAAGGCAAUAGAAACAUGUGUGAGAUUAAUCACAAUUCACAACUACAUUUUGAGUAAUUACGGGUGCGCAGAUAAGAUAAGACAAUUUUUAAAUUUGGACUAAUUUCUAACUAGAUAGCUAGUGAUUACCUUUGAUGAGGGGUUUGGUUAACUUAGCAUUUUACCUCAAGUAAAUGAAGAGAAUUUAUUAGUAUUAAAAAUUGUUUGAGCGAUAAAAAUUAUUAUUUUGUGUUUAUAUUAUAAUUUAUAUUUGUGUUUAUGCAAUAUAUUAAGGAUUAUUAAUUAUUUCUUAACAAUAUUUAAUUAUGUGUAUUUUUGUGUGCUUAUUAGGUAAAAUAUUAAAUUCACGUAAUUCGAGACUCCAAACAGAUAAGCUGAUAUUAAAUUUGGAUUCUGAAGAUACGAAAACUUUAAGAUGAGUCAAGACCAACUUAAAAUUGAGCUUGUUCAAAAAGUUGACUUUUUGUGUUGACCGAGCACUGAUUGCAUAAUAAAAUGAGUUUAUAAUAGAUAUGAAUGCAUUGGAUAGCUGUCAAUUUUGACCAAAUCUCAACCAUUCAUAAUUCAAUGGUCACGAUCGUGCCACGUGACAAUAGUUGGUGAAGCAAGUUGUAGGAUCCGAACCUUUGUAUUCAGGUCGACCCGAUUCACCCAUUAACCCACUAAAUCUUAAUCAUUCUAUGAUUAAAUCGGACGCUUCACAUGAUGCCACGUGUAAUAUUGACUUUUGAAGUUUGACCAGCCGUUGGAUCUUGAUCUAAUGAUUCUGAGGAGCCUAUGCAUAAAGCUUAUGAUAGACCGAAAAACACUAGAUUAUGAAUGUAUUUUUCUAUAAAUAGAGCCUCAUUUUUAUGUUUUGGGGUAUCUCUCUUCUUCUCAAUUUCUCUCAAUUUUUAUGCAAUCUUAUUUUUCAAGUGUGUUUUAAUAUUUUGUGUAAUUAUUUUUAUAAAUAAAUUUAGUUUUAUUUUCAAUUUUAGUUGUUUUUAUUCCUUUUAAUUAUGAGUAAUUUAAUUUUAAUAAUUAUUUUUAUUUCAAUUAUACUUAGCUAAAUAAUGAUAGUUAGGGUAAGGUGAAACUCUUAUGAAAUAAAUGUGAGUUAAUCAAAUUCUAUUUUUAAUUAUAUAAAUUAAAUUAUUUUCUAUUUAAUUUUAUACAUGUUUUAUAUUUUGAAAUUUUGAUUUAUUGUAGACAAACGAGGGAGUUUGGCACAAUAAAAUCUUAAUAUUUUAACAUAAGGUAUGAUAAAAUAGUAUUUUGACUUAUUGUAGAUAAAUUAAAUUUUGGCACAAUAAAUACUUAAUCAAUAAAAAAAUUAAUGGGAAAAUAAUAAUAAUUUAUAUAAUAAAUCUUCUGGGCAAUAAACCUAAAUAAAAAAAUGGCAAAAAGAAUUUAUUAAAUUUUAUUUACUACUAAGAGUGGAUCCAUAAUCCUAACUAAUUUAAUUUCAUAGUUUCACUUAAAUUAAGUUGCAUAUAUUCAAGUUUUAUUUUUAUUUUUAGAUUAAAUAAAAUAAACAAAUAAAUUUUUUUCUCUGUGGAUUGAUUUCGGACUCACCGAACUAUAAUAUAACAAAACACUCUUAUAUUUGGGAGUUAAAAAUUACUUUUAAAUUCUGUUAAGAAUGAUGCCAAAAUAUAAAGAUAAUAACAGACAACAGCACAUAGCAAGACACAUAAAUAAGUAAUUUUGAUGAACAAAUUAAUUAAAACCAUAAGUUUCACUUCCAAAUACAAAUUCCAACAAAGGAAAAUUAAUAAUUUUUUUUAAUUUUUUUAUUUUUAUCUAAAAGCACUAAUUGGCACUGCGGUAAUAAGGUCAAGAGCGGCUGAGAAUCUCUCCCACGGCUCGGUUCUAGGAUUAAGGUCCGGCAAGUCAUCACUCAGGGGCAAGUAAUUUAAAACGAAGCCAGGCAUCGGGUCAGCCAGGGACCGGCGCUGCGGAAUUCCCGACAGCUCAGUAUGUAUUCGAGCAAUCUCUUCAAACAAGUUUAUGUAGCUCUUGCACUCGUGCAGCUUCACCAUUCCAGGAACGUGUAGCGGUUCGCUGAUCAAAAUUGGCACCAGUUUUUGAGGCUUAUUGGCUUCAGUUCGUCUCACAUUCGCUUGUAUAUUAUUAUUAUUACUUUUGGACUUUGAAUUUGCUCAGCAGAUAUAUAUAUAUAUAUAUGUUAUGUUAUUUCAAUUUGUUAAUAUAUACCAAACUCGAAAAAAUUAUGAAGAGAUUCAAUGAACAAACUUAAAUUCACAGAUUAAAAUCGAUUCAUACAUUAUUCAAUGCUUUUAAGUGUUGACUGCAUAUAUAAAAUUUUAUCCUAUCACUUUUAACCCUCAAGUUUUUACUUCUAACUCCGUCUUUGGUUCAAUGCGCAAUAAACAGUACACAAAGCCAAGGGGAAAAAGAUACCAUCACCAUUUUGGUUUGAGAAAAUGAUCAUGCACACUCCUUUUUAUAUUUAGAAAUAAUCAUAUAAACUUAUUUUUGGACAAAUGAACUCUUUUUUAUAUUCAGAAAUGAUCACAGACUCACACAUAUUCUUAAGAUUCAUCUAGCGUCUUAAAAAGGACUAUGUGAUCAAAUCUGAAAACAUAUAGGUUUUUGUGAUUAUUUCUAAAAAUAUAGGAUCUUUUUAAUAAUUUUACCAAACUAAGGGUAUCUAAACAAUUAAAACGACCACAACUAAGACACCAACUUUUAUAUAAAAGAAAAUUAUAUAUGAAGAUUAAAAUCUAACAUCAUUUUUCAGAGAUCUUUGUACAAACUAACUACAUCAAAAUAAUUUUAGGCUUUGGCUGCAUAUAUAAAAAUUUAUCCUAUCGCUUUUAGUCCUUAAGUGUUGAAUUCUAACUUUGUCCCAAGACAAAAUAAAUAAGAACACAAAACAAACAGAGACAAUCAAAAUAAUUUUAGGUUUUGGCUGCAUUUAUAAAAGUUUAUCCUAUCGCUUUUAGCCCUUAAGUUUUGAAUUCUAACUAUGUCCCAAGACACAAUAAAUAAGAACACAAAACAAACAACGACAAUCAAGACACCAAUUUUUACAUGAAAGAAGGCUAUGAAUACUAUUUCUAAGAUCUUUGUAUAUACCUUUGUAAACAAUAAUUUUUAGCUCUCAACAAUCAAAUUAAUUGUAACCAGUUUCAAGAGACCAUUAGAAAGAGAAUAAAUUAAAAAGCAAAGUUUCUUGAAAACGUAAAAUUUGAGGUAAAGAACUAACCCUUGAAAGACCAAGAGAAAACGAAGCUCAAACUUUAGUUGUCUGCUUCUUGGCUUCUUCCACAGCAAUGCCUUGACUCCCCCAAUAAUAAUUAUAAAUUCUUUUUACAGGUUCUUAUUUUCCCUUUUCCUAAACUAAUUUCCUCCGAUUCAAUAAUUACUCCAUACUUUCAAUGCGAAAUCUUUUUGUCCAAGGAAUCGUUAGGUUUUGGGCUAGGCUAUCGACAUGAGCUGACAAGCCCACCAGCCCAACAAGUAGAAUUCACUGUAUUAAUUAAUUAUUAUCAAUUACGAUAACCACGAGAUAAAUAAUAAAAUCUGGCUUAAACAAGGGUAAAUUAAUAACUAAAAUUUUAAAAUAUGAAAAAAGGAAAAGAAAGACGAUUGUAGUAAUUAAGAAAAAAAUAUAUAAUUUUUUAAAAGAAAAUCUAUAUGAUACCACUACCAUUAAUUCUAUCUCUACCUUAUUUAUUAUCAUUAAAUUUAUGGGUUUGAAUAUCUUUAACCUUUCCAGAAGACUAUAAAAGAAGAAAUAAAUAAAUGAAAGCCUAUUCUAUUGAAAAAUAAUAUAUUUAAACUAAAAAAAUAUAUAUUACUCCGUUUUUAUUCAAGAUAACCUCAAUGUCACCAAAUAUCACACAUUGUACAAAGGAGCUAAACUGAGUGCCUGCGAGCAGGGGAGGGUGGUUUGGUUUAUUUCGAGUCUUCACAAAAAUAAACAAAUCAAAAAAAUAAUCCAACUAAUUGGAACGAUUCACGGGUCAAUAUCGGUUCAAAAUUACGCAUCAACCUCAAAAUCACCCAAUGUCAAAAAAAAAAAAAAAAACUCAAAAUCACCCAUUCUAUUGGCCUAAGAAAUAAUUCAUUUCAUUCUAUUGGCCCAAUAAAUAAUUCAUUUCAUAUAUGGUAUAUUCAUAAUUUUAACGUAAAAUUUUAAUUUUUUUAAUGAGUUAUCACUAUAUAUAUGGGGGCGUAAGUUCUCUCUAAACUUAAAAAUAAGAUAUUUUAUUUUAUAUUUACUUAGAUUUCAGCCCCUAAAAUUAAAUCAUAUCACUUCUAACGAUCAAUUUUCAGUUCUAACUCCGCCCCUGAUUAUAUAGCACAAUGAAUGAGAACAUAAAACUGAACAAUUAAACAAUCACAAUGGAGACACCAACUUUUAUAAAAACGAAAAACUUCAAAACCUUAAAUCCAAUAUUGUCUUUCUAAGAUCUUUGUACAAAUUACAACAUUAGUAAUCAAUAAAAUAUAGUUAUGUAAACCAAAAUCAAUUAUAAAGAAUCCAGAAAUUGGUUCAAUGGGCCCCUAAAGAGAUAAUAAAUUAAAAAUUAAAAAUUUCAUAAAAAAUGUAACUAACCUUUCAAAACCGAGAGAAAUGGAAGCUCUCAAACUUUAAUCGUCUCCUUGUUGGCCUUUUCCACUCACAAUGCCGUGACUCCCUCAAAAUAUUCUCUUUAUAGGUUCUUAAUUUUCCUAAUUUUUUGCCCCCCCUUUUUUUUUUGGGAACCUGUAUUUUUCAUAUGGAUUUUCCUUUCCAAGCUAAUUAUGAAAUCUCUCUCCUUAAUAGGAUUGGCUUUGGGCUAGUCCAUCCACAUAAGAGGACAGGCCCGUCAGCCCAAUCAAGAACAACAUAAUUACAUAGACGUCCUUUGUUUCUUGAAUUUUUUAAAAAUACCGUUUGUUUACACAAUUGGUUAAUUAAAUCUUAAUUUCUCUUGUCCUUUCUUCGACUGCAAAAGUUUCUUUUAUAUAAAUUUAGUUAACUAUUUUAAUUUUAUAAAACAAAAUAAUGAAAUUUAAAAAAUGUGUGAAAUUUUACUAUCAUAUGUUAGAUUCAUUAAAAAAUUAAUUGUAUAAAUUAAAUUAUCUUCUAAACAAUUCAAUCGUUUUACAUAAUAGAAAUAUAAGAAUAAAAUGAACUCUUCGAUUAUGAAUAUUAGUUGUGGUUGAAGAUAGUUCAUAAAUAUAUAGAAAACCAGUAUGCUGACAGCCUGAUAGAACUACGCCAUAAAAUUAUUGGACCACUGAACUGUGGCAAUCAGACGGGGGCUUAAGUGACCAAAAACAAUUGAUUCAAUUAGUCAAUUGUGUAAACUAUUAAUAGAUUUUAAAUUUGAGCAAACAACAAGGACCUUUCUGUAAAUUAACAUAUUAAUAUUGGCGGGUGUGAGUAUUUAGCCAUAUAAGAUAAAACCAAAUACAAUGGGCUUUCCCGAAGUUAACUAAAUAGAUGAAUUUUCCUUUUUUACCCUACCACCAAAAGACAAUUAAAAAAAAUAAUGUAGACUUGUGAAAACAAAAUUAGUUGAGACUUACAAAUACAUGAAUUUCAAAAUAAGGAAAAUAAAGUUCGUAUUAUAAUAAUAUAGUAAGUAACGUGUCACUCAUUGAUUGAUGCCAUAUAAUAAUCAAAUUAAUGAUAGUAUAGAAACAUUAACAAUUAUUUAAUAUAUAAUAGUCAAUUUAUUACCGCCAUGAACAGCUUUUGAUUACAACGCAUCACAACUUUACGAGUGUAUCAACAUUACUUAAGUUAAUUAUUUGAUCUCUCCGAUAUGAAUGUCUAAAAUCGAAAAAGUGUAAAAUUCUAAACAGUACGCUACUAUAUGAUGCGUUACUUUCACAAGGUGAAAUAAGUAAAGGAAAGAGACAAAUAAUUGUAAUUAGAAAAAAAAAGCACAUUAGUUUUCAUUGAGGAAAUCGAAAUAACACCGUGACGAUAUGGUCCAUUAUUGUAGAAAAAUAUUAUUUCUAAUCAUAUGGUAAGUAAUUAUCAUUAAAAAGACUAUAUUACCCUUUAAAAAUGUUUAUGGAUAUUAUAAAAAAAGAAAUCGUUACAAUCUACACAUAUAUUGCAUAAUUAGAAGUUUAUUGAAAAUUCAUAUGCAACAAAUUUAUAGCAUAGUUUAAAAAUUUAUUAAGACUACUGAAAAAUCUACUCCUACUAACAAUAUCUGAUGGGAAAUUUACCAUAUUUCAUAUGUUAUUAAACGGAAAACUUUACACGAAGUGGUGCCCUCACGAUAUUACAACUUAUAAAGGAAAAUUUUUAUCAAGAUUAUAAAAUAACACAUUAGCUAGUUCAAUAAGAUGAACAUAAUUUUUUUAAGCUAAUAAAGGUGCAAAUUACAUUUCUGAAUUCCAAAUCAAAAUGUGACACAAAAUUGUCAACCAACGAAAACCUCCAAUUCGGACUUAUUUUCUUGAUCAAUCACAUCAAGGAACACAGGAUCAACGGUCACAUGACUGUCCACGUGGAUCUUAAACUUGUGAUCCCACCACAACACCUUCGCCGUACCCUCGAUAUCCACUUUGGCUUCAAACAGCAUCUCUCUCUUCGCGACGUCGGCGAAGAACUUUCUAGCGUGGUGGGCCAGCUCGAGCCCGUCGAGCCGAGCCGGGAUGUGGAGCAGCUGGCAGGAGCCGGCCGCCUGGGAUCCGGCCUUGACGGGAGCGGAGCCGAGGAGCGAGCCCUCGUAGAAGAUGGACAUGGUGGUGGAGGAGUACUUGAUGGGAGUGAUGUUGGGAUUGACGACGUGUACGGUCAGGAUGAGCUCGGCGUCUAGGACUGGGAACUUGAGUUUAAACGAGGUGAGUUUGAUUGAGAUCAAUUGGAAUGUGGGGUCCUUCGGCUUCGCACUGACUAGAGCUGCCGUUGCGGUUGCUGCUGCUGCUCCUAUCAAAGCUGAGUUCCAGCUCCAUUUUACCUUUUUGCCCAUGACCUUCUUCGUAAAUUACUCUAUUCUUGGUCCCUUUUGAAAUAAUGAACCAACCAACGAAGACGAGACCAAGGGGGACGCGGGUUUAUCUUUAGUCUGAUAGCCACGGUGAUUGAAAUGACGCUAAUGCCCAUAUAAAUAUUUGUUUGGUGACAGGCAUGGUGGUACAGCAGGGCUCCCCCCCACGUUGCUAACUGUCUUUUUCUUAUUUUCUUUCCGCUCGAGCCCGUCGAGCCGAGCCGGGAUGUGGAGCAGCUGGCAGGAGCCGGCCGCCUGGGAUCCGGCCUUGACGGGAGCGGAGCCGAGGAGCGAGCCCUCGUAGAAGAUGGACAUGGUGGUGGAGGAGUACUUGAUGGGAGUGAUGUUGGGAUUGACGACGUGUACGGUCAGGAUGAGCUCGGCGUCUAGGACUGGGAACUUGAGUUUAAACGAGGUGAGUUUGAUUGAGAUCAAUUGGAAUGUGGGGUCCUUCGGCUUCGCACUGACUAGAGCUGCCGUUGCGGUUGCUGCUGCUGCUCCUAUCAAAGCUGAGUUCCAGCUCCAUUUUACCUUUUUGCCCAUGACCUUCUUCGUAAAUUACUCUAUUCUUGGUCCCUUUUGAAAUAAUGAACCAACCAACGAAGACGAGACCAAGGGGGACGCGGGUUUAUCUUUAGUCUGAUAGCCACGGUGAUUGAAAUGACGCUAAUGCCCAUAUAAAUAUUUGUUUGGUGACAGGCAUGGUAAUUUAAGAGCUUGGGCAUGGGCUUAUUAUUGAUAGCAACAAGCUCAAGUCCUCUAAAAUCCCGUCCAAGACUUGGGCCUAAAGCUCACCGGUUUGGACCGAGUUUAAUUUUAUAAAAUUUUAAUAGAGUUUAAAAUAAAAAAUUAAAAGAAUACUUAAAUUAAAGAUGAUUACUGCUGUACCGUACAUCCGCCUUGGCCGUACAGCAGAAAUUAAAGAUGAUUAAUUGAUUAUAUAAUAUUUAAUAAAUUAAUAAUCAAAUAAAUAAAAUAUAUAAUAUAUAAAAUUUAAAAUAUAAAGCUCAUAAUAUAUAAAAUAAAAAAAAUUUAUUUAUAAAAUAUAAAGUUUAUGUCAAGCCUUAAUUUUUUCAAUGAGCCCAUAUCGAGGCUCAUCUAUUGUGAACUUUUAAAUUUUCAGUCUAUGACUAGGUAUAUUCACUGUAGAUCGAGCCUACAACUCGUGGGUCUAGAUGGGCCAUUUAUGGACCGAGCCAGAUCUAACUUUAUCUCUAUUUGGUGAUGUGUUUGUGAUGGUUAAUUUUGGUAUUUAAAAAAGUUGAGUUAAACUUAAGACAAGGCGAAUUUGGAUAGGCGUUAAAGGAUAAUGGUAGAAAUCAAAAUUAUGUUUUCAAAUCAUAUCUUCAAUCACUAAGAGAAUCUCCAAAAUGCUCUUCAAAUAAGAUUUUAUUAUUUAUUUGAAGAGGCACAUCAGUAUUUAAAAAUCUAAAAAAUAUUUCAAUUAAGAUUAUUUAAAUAAAAAAUGAUUCACUCUCUUCAAUUUUGUAGGGUUGUUUUCUUUCUCUUUAAUUUAUAUUUUAUUACUUUUAUUGGAGAGAGAGAGAGAGAGAGAGAGAGAGAGAGAGAUGCUUUAAUUAUCAUUUAUUUUUCCUUUGAAAAAAAUAUUUAUUUGAUUAAAAUACAUUAAACUGAUUUCUAUUUGAAGAGCCUUUUAGAAAAUAACAUAUUUUUUCACUCUUUUUUACCACAUAAGUAAGCAAAUAAAUAAUUAGAAAGUAAAAUUAAUAGAACAUUUUGGAGAUACUCUAAUAAUAUGAGAUUUGCUAAGGUUUUACCAAGUAGUAAGGAGCAGUGUUUUUACAACUCAAGUUCUAAAUUCGAAUUGUGCUAAUGUGCAUAGGUUAAAUAAAAAAUAAUAUGAGAUUCGUUUAAAAUUACAUACAAAAUCCAUAUUCAGAUUAUAUAACUAUUGCAGAAUAAUAAUAAUAAUAAUAAUAAUAAUAAUAAUAAUAAUAAGAACAACAACAAUCAUAAAGACACUAUUUUAAUUUUAUCUCAAUUUCAUACCAGAGUAAAUAAAAGUUGAAUUAAUAAUAAAGUUGUUUCAAUAUUGCAGGAUAGAAGUAGAGUUCAUUGGUGGGAUACAUAUCAUUUAUUAGAUAUAUAUGAGUCAACAAAAUAAUUUAUUGUGAAUAACAUAAAUUCAUUGCAUCAUUGAUCAUAAACUUUUUGAUAAGAUGAGAAUUUUAGAAAGUUUAUGAUUUUAUUUUUCCUCUUUGAAUUUGUUCUCAUUAUAAUUCUCUACUAUUUUGAUUAGACUCUUAUAAACCGCCUUGGCCGUACAGCAGCUAUGAUUCUGUCCCCCCCCCCCUUUUUUUUUCUUUUACUAUUUUUACAACUUUUUAAUUUAAAAUUUUCUAGGACCGUGUAACUAGCUUACAAGCCAUAGGCAAAUUAACCUUCCAAUUCUCUCAAAAAUUUCAGCAAUGCUAACACGUGAGAGUCAAUACUAAUUACUGUAUUUUAGAUAUUUUUUAUCGAUUCAUUAUGUAGCCAACGGUUAACUGGGAGGGCUAACUGAAUAAUACCUUUUCAAACAGAGAGAGAGAGAGAGUACUUGUGCAAAGUGUUUGGCUACUCUAAUUAAAAAGUGUUUAAACAAUUGUAGAUUGUUUGGACUACUCAAAUUAAAAAAAGUACCUAUAUAUAGAUGGUAUAGGGCCACUUUGGGAUUGCAGAGGCUGAUGAAAUAAGUUGUUUGUAUUGUGCAGAAAAAAUAAGCUAUUGAUUAAAAAAAUAACUUGGUGUUCAGUAAACUGUGUUGUUGCGGUUGCCGUGAGUUUGAAAAGUAGAGUACAUGCGUUUGGUCAAUUUUAUUACGAAAUUGUUGUUUUAUUAUAUAAUGACCAAAAUAAACAUAAGUUUUUAAUCGCUUGUUAUUUUUAUAGUAUGUUUAAUUAAUUGUUUAAACAUAUCUUUUUUUCUUAAAUAUAUAAAAUUACAUUAAAAAAACUCAAUUAAAAAAAAUCUAAAGAACUUCAUAAUCUGUUAUAUGAAAUAUGAUAAAAGUUCGUACUUAUACAUAAUCCAAAUAAAAUAAAAAGUAAUAUAUAUUACAUUCACAAGAAAUUUUUUGCAAUAAAGUUCCUCAAAUUUUCAAUUUUUUGGGAUCCAGAGCCAUUAGUAUUGUGAUGCUCUUUGAUUAAAAAUAUAAAUAUAUAUAGAUUAAACUUUAAAAGUCAUAAUUAUGAAAUUAGAAUAUGAACUUACUGGAUCAAAACUGGAGAGAACUUGCGUGGUUCUAACAGUAACUAAAUUAUGGUGCUAAUAUGAUAUAUGAUAAUUUAUAUAUUAGGGUUUAUUAAUAAAAAAUAUAAUUGUCUUUUUAUUAAAAUAUAGGGUUAUAAUAAAAAUUUUAAAAAGAUGUAGUAGUUUAUUAAAUAAGUUGCUUAUGAAAAGCAACUCCCUAUUUGUUUUUAAAAGCUACCGACAAAAUGGAGAAAAUUAUGAAAUAAGUUGAUUUUAUAAAAUUUACCAAAUACUAUUUUUUAUAAAAAAUUAUGAAAUAAACAACUUAUUAAAUUUCAACCGCAAAUUUCAUAAGCAUGCACGACUUGUACUUUGUGCUCUUCACUAUUAGCAAAUUAAUAUGGAAUUGCUACGACUUCGAAAUAGUGAACUAAAUUGCAUUGCAAUCUCAAAAAAGAAAAAGAAAAAAGGACAAGAUCAAGAAAUUGAUGAAAUAUAGUCGUAACUUGUUAAAAAUGAAACAAAAAAUGACAAAAAAAAAAGAAAUAUUGAUUAAUCUCAACUUACUAUUAUAUACAUCGACUGUUAAAAUUGUAAAAGCAAUCAACGCGAAAGCAACAAUCCAUACAUUAUAAAGUCGGUGUCAUGAUACUAUGAAACAAAAAAAAGGAAAAAAUAUUACAUGAAAUGUACAAAAACAAGUGACACCAAAAUAGUGCAAAGCAAGUAAUUCAGGCCACUCCGACCAAGGCUUGCAUCGUUAGAUCCAUGAUGGUGGUGGUCGUUACGGUGGUUCUGAGCACCGCCAGCCGCACCGGCCGCAUAAAGGGGAAUAACCGCGCCACCACCUUGCGUGUGUGGUGAUGUAUCCCCAUUGCUGCGGGCCGCUUCCCUUCCCCCGUGGCCGCCGGAGCCGCCGGAACCUCCAUGACCGCCACUACUUCCGUGGCCUCCGCCACCGCCGCCACGCCUACUCACGGCUGCUUUUUCUUGGAGUAUUGGGCGUACGUUUUGUUGCUUAUCAGUGUCUACAGAAAAAGUGGCACCAUGUAAAAUCAUUGCGGACGUACUAUUUGUCGCUACCACCGCAUCGAAUUAUUGCUUGCAUGGGCCUUGGGCCCAGGGCACAAGCAUCUGUCGGCCCAAUUGGGCCAUAAACAUGCCCUUUUAACAUAAAAAGUUUCCACGGCGAUCCAUCCACAGCCACAAGCAAGGAAUAUUUUGCCUUUUGCAGAUGCCAAGUAAUCUUGGCAUGUUGGGGGGAUGCAAAAAUUCCUUGAUUUAUUUUUAAUUAUUUACAAUUUUUUUACUUUUUGGGUUUGGAGAAGCUACUAAACACUACGUAAAGACAGUAAAGAGUCAAAACAAAUUCUUAUAUUUUAGAUUUUAAACUAGUCUUUAC
rnacentral:lncRNA from 1 species